CGGGGUGUAGCUCAGCUUGGUUUAGAGUACGCGUCUGGGGGGCGUGGGGUCGGAGGUUCAAAUCCUCUCACCCCGA
rnacentral:tRNA from 3 species